UACGUAGGGCGCGAGCGUUGUCCGGAAUUAUUGGGCGUAAAGAGCUCGUAGGCGGCUUGUCGCGUCUGCUGUGAAAUCCCUGGGCUUAACUCUGGGCGUGCAGUGGGUACGGGCAGGCUAGAGUGCGGUAGGGGUGAUUGGAAUUCCUGGUGUAGCGGUGGAAUGCGCAGAUAUCAGGAGGAACACCGAUGGCGAAGGCAGGUCACUGGGCCGUUACUGACGCUGAGGAGCGAAAGCAUGGGGAGCGAACAGGAUUAGAUACCCUGGUAGUCCAUGCUGUAAACGUUGGGCACUAGGUGUGGGGGGCCUUUCCGGGUUUUCUGCGCCGUAGCUAACGCAUUAAGUGCCCCGCCUGGGGAGUACGGCCGCAAGGCUAAA
rnacentral:rRNA from 1 species